rnacentral:tRNA from 1 species
UCGAAAUGCAAGUUCGGAGAAGCACMCAAGAGGUGCCGGGGCUUCUCCCGUUU